rnacentral:rRNA from 1 species
UACGUAGGGUGCAAGCGUUAAUCGGAAUUACUGGGCGUAAAGCGUGCGCAGGCGGUUAUGCAAGACAGAUGUGAAAUCCCCGGGCUCAACCUGGGAACUGCAUUUGUGACUGCAUGGCUGGAGUGCGGCAGAGGGGGAUGGAAUUCCGCGUGUAGCAGUGAAAUGCGUAGAGAUGCGGAGGAACACCGAUGGCGAAGGCAGCCCCCUGGGCCGACAUUGACGCUCAGGCACGAAAGCGUGGGGAGCAAACAGG